UGGGGGAUAUUGCUCAAUGGGAGAAAUCCUGAAGCAGCAACGCCGCGUGGAGGAUGAAGGGUCUAUGACUUGUAAACUCCUGUAAAGAAGGAAAAAAUUCCCAUUAGAUGGGAGAUGAUGGUACUUCUGGAGUAAGCCCCGGCUAACUACGUGCCAGCAGCCGCGGUAAUACGUAGGGGGCAAGCGUUGUCCGGAUUUACUGGGUGUAAAGGGUGCUCAGGCGGAUUUGUAAGUCAGAGGUGAAAUCUUACAGCUUAACUGUGAAACUGCCUUUGAUACUGCAAGCCUAGAGUAUGGAAGAGAGUGAUGGAAUAUCUGGUGUAGCAGUGAAAUGCGUAGAUAUCAGAUAGAACACCAAUGGCGAAGGCAGUCACUUGGUCCAUUACUGACGCUAAAGCACGAAAGCGUGGGUAGCAAACA
rnacentral:rRNA from 1 species